UAAAAUUCAUUUCAAAUCUUAAUACUUAUUCCUUUUAGUCAUUUAAUUGCAAUAUAUUUUAAUGAUUAAAAAAAAAUAUUUCCAAUUUAAUAAAACCCAAAUUUUAAUUGAAAGCCCUAAUCCAUUGUUCCUCUUUUCAUCUUCAAACUCCACCAUCUUCGAUCAGAAUAACGACGAUAUCAGAAUCACAACCCUACUCUUCCUCUUCUUUUUUAGUUGUGAUUUCAUCUUAUUUUUCUGUUUUUUCCUACUCAUCUUCAUAUUUUACAUGAUAUGAGAGGACCAAGGGGUGAUGGAGAUGAGAACAAACCAACAAAUUUAUGAUGGGCAGCGAUGCUUUCGGCAACGAGGUCUGUUAUUGACGAGGAAGAAGUUGUGGUAGUGCUAGAUUUGAAUAUUAUUGUGGUCUGAAUACGGAUGUCUGAAUAGGAUGGAGAUGUCGGCAAAUUGAUGUUCCUGCCACUGCAUGGACUUGCUCCAGGAUAUUUAUGCAGGAUGCACCUUAAGGGGAUGAAGUAUGCUCUGAAUCGGUCGUGACUCUUGACGUGAACUACCGUACAUGACUCAAAGAAUCUCGUAAAUAAAGGAAUGAACUUGCUUAUGCAAAUAUGGUAUGAAUGGUCCAAGUGGAUACUGUCAUUGGGCUUAGGGGUUAGAAGAGUUGACUUUGGUCAAAUAUUGACCAAAAAGUCAACAGUUGACUAAAAGUCAACCUUAGCGAAAAUCCUUAUUUCUUUUUUGUAAUUUUGUAUAGACAUUUGUAAACUUGGUAUUUGUAAGUGACAUGAACAAACUUGAAUGAAAAAUGAUUUAAUACUUUAAUUCUU